rnacentral:rRNA from 1 species
AAGGUUUCCAGGGGAAGGUUCGUCCGCCCUGGGUUAGUCGGGACCUAAGCUGAGGCCGAAAGGCGUAGGAGAUGGACAACAGGUUGAUAUUCCUGUACUACCGAUAACCGUUUGAGAGAAGGGAUGACACAGAAGGAUAAGCUAAGCACACUGUUGGUUAUGUGUGCCCAAGCAUUGAGGCAGUCAAAGUAGGCAAAUCCGCUUUGAUAAU